AAAAAUUUGGCGGUAUUUUAGUCUAUUCAGAGGAACUUGUUUUAUAAUUGAUAAUCCACAAUGGACCUUACUUAAAUUUGUAAUCAAUUUAUAUACCGUCGUUAUUAGGAUAUUUUAUAAAAAUGAUAAUUUCCAAAAUUUUUUUAAAAAAUAUAUCAGAUCAAGGUGUAGUUUAUAUUUAAGAAAAAAUGGGUUACAAUAAAAUUAUUUAUACGAAUAUAAAUGUGAAAUAUUUAUUGAAGGUGGAUUUGAUAGUAAAAUUAUAAAGAUUAAUAAAUUGAUUUUAGCUCUAAAAUAUGUACAUAUCGCCCGUCACUUUUGCUUUUAAGGUAAGAUAAGUCGUAACAUAGUAGAUGUACUGGAAAGUGUAUCUAGAAUGCAAUUUAAAGCUUAUUUAGUAAAGUAUUUCAUUUACAUUGAAAAGGUUUUUGUGCAAAUCAAUAUAAGUUGAUAAAUUUUAUUUAUUAAUUUAAUUUAUUCUAUAUUUAAUUUAUUAAAAAUAAUUAUAAAUUAAUUUGUUUUAGUAUUUAAUUAAUAAAAAAUAAUUUUAAUAAUAGUUUAAUAGUAUUGUAAAAGAAAAUUGAAAUAUUUU
rnacentral:rRNA from 1 species